rnacentral:rRNA from 1 species
GACCGCCUGGGGAGUACGGCCGCAAGGUUAAAACUCAAAUGAAUUGACGGGGGCCCGCACAAGCGGUGGAGCAUGUGGUUUAAUUCGAUGCAACGCGAAGAACCUUACCUGGUCUUGACAUCCACAGAACUUUCCAGAGAUGGAUUGGUGCCUUCGGGAACUGUGAGACAGGUGCUGCAUGGCUGUCGUCAGCUCGUGUUGUGAAAUGUUGGGUUAAGUCCCGCAACGAGCGCAACCCUUAUCCUUUGUUGCCAGCGAUUAGGUCGGGAACUCAAAGGAGACUGCCAGUGAUAAACUGGAGGAAGGUGGGGAUGACGUCAAGUCAUCAUGGCCCUUACGACCAGGGCUACACACGUGCUACAAUGGCGCAUACAAAGAGAAGCGACCUCGCGAGAGCAAGCGGACCUCAUAAAGUGCGUCGUAGUCCGGAUUGGAGUCUGCAACUCGACUCCAUGAAGUCGGAAUCGCUAGUAAUCGUGGAUCAGAAUGCCACGGUGAAUACGUUCCCGGGCCUUGUACACACCGCCCGUCACACCAUGGGAGUGGGUUGCAAAAGAAGUAGGUAGCUUAACCUUCGGGAGGGCGCUUACCACUUUGUGAUUCAUGACUGGGGUGAAGUCGUAACAAGGUAACCGUAGGGGAACCUGCGGUUG